rnacentral:rRNA from 1 species
UACGUAGGGUGCAGGCGUUAAUCGGAAUUACUGGGCGUAAAGCGUGCGCAGGCGGUUUGCUAAGACAGGUGUGAAAUCCCCGGGCUUAACCUGGGAACUGCGCUUGUAACUGGCAAGCUAGAGUGUGGCAGAGGGGGGUGGAAUUCCACGUGUAGCAGUGAAAUGCGUAGAGAUGUGGAGGAACACCGAUGGCGAAGGCAGCCUCCUGGGCCAGCACUGACGCUCAUGCACGAAAGCGUGGGGAGCAAACAGG